ACAUGGACUUCUUGUGCCCCAAAAGAAAAGACAGAAAGCUCCUAAAAUGAGCAAAUAAGCUGUGCAUCAUCUCUGUGAUUUGGAAAGGAAAUGACUGAAUAUGAUGAAGCCAGUUGAUGAAGAUAUCAAUUGAAUGGCCACCGAGUGCAUCACUGCUACCUGAACCCAUCAGUUAUCUGCUGUGAAGACUGCAUUCACAAACCGCUCUACUGCGACAGCUCAGAUGUUACGGCCUGUAAAAGUAAACAUCACAGCUAAACAACGAGAGCUAGUUGUGGUGGGAUUCUUUUGGCCAAUAUCCCCAACAAGAAUCAAUGUUAAGUCCAGUGCAACAAUUAUAAAUAAAAAUACUAUAUAUUGUUUAUUGAUUUACCAUACCCUAAAUACAUGUUUUGGCCCUCCAGGACAUCUAGACCAGGUGGAGUGUGAGGAGGACCGUCAGAGACUCCAGCCAGCCGAGCCAUGGAUUGCUCUCACUGUUACCAUCAGGCAGACGUUAUCACAGAACCUACACCAGCAGACAGUGAGACAAGUUCCUUUCACAGGCAAUCAGACUGAACUGAACUCAUACCAGUAAAACCAUACACGCCCCACCAACCUCAUAUGCCCUGCACUCUUAUCAGUUAUGCUGACUGGACUCAAUAUUAUUAUGCACCCUGACAUUCUGUUUGCACUAAUUCAUACCGUGCUUUACUGCAGAGAUGUAUGUGUACUGUGAUUAUUAUUGUUUUCAAUUCAUGCUCUCUGUAUAGCAUAAUUUUUAACAUAUAUUGUUCUCUACCUGAAUUGAGUCCCUUAUAUAUGUGUGUUGCAUAUAUAUAUUCAGAAUUUGUAUUACAUAUAUUCAUGAUUUUAAUUCAUUUGUCAUCCAUACUGUCACGCUGCAGUCUGCACCCAAGACUUUCAUCACCUGUAUACUUGUGUUCAUUGUAUUGUGACAAUAAAGAUAUUUGAUUUAAAUUA